rnacentral:rRNA from 1 species
CGGUCCUACGGGGGGCAGCAGUAGGGAAUCUUCGGCAAUGGGCGAAAGCCUGACCGAGCAACGCCGCGUGAAUGAAGAAGGCCUUCGGGUUGUAAAAUUCUGUUAUAAGGGAAGAAAGGUGAUAGGAGGAAAUGACUAUCAAUUGACGGUACCUUACGAGAAAGCCACGGCUAACUACGUGCCAGCAGCCGCGGUAAUACGUAGGUGGCAAGCGUUACUCGGAAUCACUGGGCGUAAAGAGCGCGUAGGCGGGAUAG